UCUUGGGUCCUGUGCAAUGGAACUCGCGAACCGUGUCAGGUUGGGAACAAAGCAGCACUAAGCGAACCCUUCCAUGUGCCGCAGGUAACCGAAGAACU
rnacentral:SRP_RNA from 1 species